UCAAGUGAAGAAGCGCAUACGGUGGAUGCCUUGGCAGUCAGAGGCGAUGAAAGACGUGGUAGCCUGCGAAAAGCUUCGGGGAGUCGGCAAACAGACUGUGAUCCGGAGAUAUCUGAAUGGGGGAACCCAGCCAUCAUAAGAUGGUUAUCUUGUACUGAAUACAUAGGUGCAAGAGGCGAACCAGGGGAACUGAAACAUCUAAGUACCCUGAGGAAAAGAAAUCAACCGAGAUUCCCUUAGUAGUGGCGAGCGAACGGGGACCAGCCCUUAAGUUGUAUUGAGAUUAGCGGAACGUUCUGGAAAGGACGGCCAUAGUGGGUGAUAGCCCUGUACGCGAAAAUCCCUUUGCAAUGAAAUCGAGUAGGACGGGGCACGAGAAACCUUGUCUGAAUAUGGGGGGACCAUCCUCCAAGGCUAAAUACUACUGACUGACCGAUAGUGAACCAGUACCGUGAGGGAAAGGCGAAAAGAACCGCGGAGAGCGGAGUGAAAUAGAUCCUGAAACCGUAUGCGUACAAGCAGUGGGAGCCCACUUUGUUGGGUGACUGCGUACCUUUUGUAUAAUGGGUCAGCGACUUAUUUUCAGUGGCGAGCUUAACCGAAUAGGGGAGGCGUAGCGAAAGCGAGUCUUAAUAGGGCGUCUAGUCGCUGGGAAUAGACCCGAAACCGGGCGAUCUAUCCAUGGGCAGGUUGAAGGUUGGGUAACACUAACUGGAGGACCGAACCGACUACCGUUGAAAAGUUAGCGGAUGACCUGUGGAUCGGAGUGAAAGGCUAAUCAAGCUCGGAGAUAGCUGGUUCUCCUCGAAAGCUAUUUAGGUAGCGCCUCAUGUAUCACUGUAGGGGGUAGAGCACUGUUUCGGCUAGGGGGUCAUCCCGACUUACCAAACCGAUGCAAACUCCGAAUACCUACAAGUGCCGAGCAUGGGAGACACACGGCGGGUGCUAACGUCCGUCGUGAAAAGGGAAACAACCCAGACCGUCAGCUAAGGUCCCAAAGUCAUGGUUAAGUGGGAAACGAUGUGGGAAGGCUUAGACAGCUAGGAGGUUGGCUUAGAAGCAGCCACCCUUUAAAGAAAGCGUAAUAGCUCACUAGUCGAGUCGGCCUGCGCGGAAGAUGUAACGGGGCUCAAACCAUGCACCGAAGCUACGGGUAUCAUCUUUUGAUGAUGCGGUAGAGGAGCGUUCUGUAAGCCUGUGAAGGUGAGUUGAGAAGCUUGCUGGAGGUAUCAGAAGUGCGAAUGCUGACAUGAGUAACGACAAUGGGUGUGAAAAACACCCACGCCGAAAGACCAAGGUUUCCUGCGCAACGUUAAUCGACGCAGGGUUAGUCGGUCCCUAAGGCGAGGCUGAAAAGCGUAGUCGAUGGAAAACAGGUUAAUAUUCCUGUACUUCUGGUUAUUGCGAUGGAGGGACGGAGAAGGCUAGGCCAGCCUGGCGUUGGUUGUCCAGGUUUAAGGUGGUAGGCUGAGAUCUUAGGUAAAUCCGGGAUCUUAAGGCCGAGAGCUGAUGACGAGUGUUCUUUUAGAACACGAAGUGGUUGAUGCCAUGCUUCCAAGAAAAGCUUCUAAGCUUCAGGUAACCAGGAACCGUACCCCAAACCGACACAGGUGGUUGGGUAGAGAAUACCAAGGCGCUUGAGAGAACUCGGGUGAAGGAACUAGGCAAAAUGGCACCGUAACUUCGGGAGAAGGUGCGCCGGUGGAGGUGAAGCAUUUACUGCGUAAGCCCCUGCCGGUCGAAGAUACCAGGCCGCUGCGACUGUUUAUUAAAAACACAGCACUCUGCAAACACGAAAGUGGACGUAUAGGGUGUGACGCCUGCCCGGUGCCGGAAGGUUAAUUGAUGGGGUUAGCGCAAGCGAAGCUCUUGAUCGAAGCCCCGGUAAACGGCGGCCGUAACUAUAACGGUCCUAAGGUAGCGAAAUUCCUUGUCGGGUAAGUUCCGACCUGCACGAAUGGCGUAACGAUGGCGGCGCUGUCUCCACCCGAGACUCAGUGAAAUUGAAAUCGCUGUGAAGAUGCAGUGUAUCCGCGGCUAGACGGAAAGACCCCGUGAACCUUUACUAUAGCUUUGCACUGGACUUUGAAUUUGCUUGUGUAGGAUAGGUGGGAGGCUUUGAAGCGUGGACGCCAGUCUGCGUGGAGCCAACCUUGAAAUACCACCCUGGCAACUUUGAGGUUCUAACUCAGGUCCGUUAUCCGGAUCGAGGACAGUGUAUGGUGGGUAGUUUGACUGGGGCGGUCUCCUCCUAAAGAGUAACGGAGGAGUACGAAGGUGCGCUCAGACCGGUCGGAAAUCGGUCGUAGAGUAUAAAGGCAAAAGCGCGCUUGACUGCGAGACAGACACGUCGAGCAGGUACGAAAGUAGGUCUUAGUGAUCCGGUGGUUCUGUAUGGAAGGGCCAUCGCUCAACGGAUAAAAGGUACUCCGGGGAUAACAGGCUGAUACCGCCCAAGAGUUCAUAUCGACGGCGGUGUUUGGCACCUCGAUGUCGGCUCAUCACAUCCUGGGGCUGAAGCCGGUCCCAAGGGUAUGGCUGUUCGCCAUUUAAAGUGGUACGCGAGCUGGGUUUAGAACGUCGUGAGACAGUUCGGUCCCUAUCUGCCGUGGACGUUUGAGAUUUGAGAGGGGCUGCUCCUAGUACGAGAGGACCGGAGUGGACGAACCUCUGGUGUUCCGGUUGUCACGCCAGUGGCAUUGCCGGGUAGCUAUGUUCGGAAAAGAUAACCGCUGAAAGCAUCUAAGCGGGAAACUUGCCUCAAGAUGAGAUCUCACUGGAACCUUGAGUUCCCUAAAGGGCCGUCGAAGACUACGACGUUGAUAGGUUGGGUGUGUAAGCGCUGUGAGGCGUUGAGCUAACCAAUACUAAUUGCCCGUGAGGCUUGACCAU
rnacentral:rRNA from 1 species